rnacentral:rRNA from 1 species
CGUAAUCACUUGUCCUCUAAAUAGGGACCAGUAUGAACGGCUACAUGAGGACCAAACUGUCUCCUUUGACUAAUCAAUGAACCUGAUCCCCCAGUACAAAAGCUGGAAUAAAACCAUAAGACGAGAAGACCCUGUGGAGCUUAAAAUAUAACCACUAACCAACAAAGCCCCGAUUCUUAGGCUCACUCAAUAAAAAUAGUGCACAUUUUUAGUUGGGGCGACUACGGAACCAAACAAAACUUCCACGACACAGGCCAACCCCCUCCACCAAAGGUCAACAAACCAACCACACUACUUGACCCAGUAAUACUGACCAACGAACCAAGUUACCCCAGGGAUAACAGCGCCAUCCUCUUCAAGAGCCCCUAUCGCCAAGAGGGUUUACGACCUCGAUGUUGGAUCAGGACACCCAGGUGGUGCAACCGCUACCAACGGUUCGUUUGUUCAACGAUUAACAGUCCUACGUGAU